rnacentral:rRNA from 1 species
GACGAACGCUGGCGGCGUGCUUAACACAUGCAAGUCGAACGGAAAGGCCCUGCUUUUGUGGGGUGCUCGAGUGGCGAACGGGUGAGUAACACGUGAGUAACCUGCCCUUGACUUUGGGAUAACUUCAGGAAACUGGGGCUAAUACCGGAUAGGAGCUCCUGCUGCAUGGUGGGGGUUGGAAAGUUUCGGCGGUUGGGGAUGGACUCGCGGCUUAUCAGCUUGUUGGUGGGGUAGUGGCUUACCAAGGCUUUGACGGGUAGCCGGCCUGAGAGGGUGACCGGCCACAAGGGGACUGAGAGACGGCCCAGACUCCGACGGGAGGCAGCAGUGGGGAAUAUUGCACAAUGGGCGGAAGCCUGAUGCAGCAACGCCGCGUGCGGGAUGACGGCCUUCGGGUUGUAAACCGCUUUCGCCUGUGACGAAGCGUGAGUGACGGUAAUGGGUAAAGAAGCAACGGCUAACUACGUG